AAGUAUAUGCAUAUUUGAUAUGUAGAAACUGCGAACGGCUCAUUAUAACAGUUAUAAUCUACUUGACAUUUUUUACAUUAUAAGGAUAACUACGGAAAAUCUAUAGCUAAUACUUGUUUUUAUGUAUGUACAUAUUUUCGAAUUUGUUAAUACAGUACUUGUUAUUUUCUUAUAAAAAUUUUUUACUGAUUAAUGGAAUUAUAACAAAGAAGUGACACAUGAUACAUUUUUUGAUGUAUAUUAGUGUGUAUCAAUCGAGUUUCUGACCUAUCAGCUUUUGAUGUUAGGGUAUUGACCUAACAUGGCAGUGACGGGUAACGGGGAAUUAGAGUUCGAUUCCGGAGAGGGAGCCUGAGAAACGGCUACCACAUCUAAGGAAGGCAGCAGGCGCGUAAAUUACCCAAUUCUAACGAAGAGAGGUAGUGACAAGAAAUAAUAGGACAAGACUAUUUUAUAGUUUUGUAUCUGUGCUGAUGGGAAUUUAAAAACUUCUCAAAAUUCUAUUGGAGGGCAAGUCUGGUGCCAGCAGCCGCGGUAAUUCCAGCUCCAAUAGCGUAUAUUAAAAUUGUUGCAGUUAAAACGCUCGUAGUUGAAUUUGGAUAGGAUUUUUUUAGAAAAGAAAAACAUAUUGUAUUUUGAUUUUUUUAAAUUAAAAACGAUAUGGAUUUUCAUUUUUGAUACGAAUUCUUAUUUAGAUCAUUUUAUUACAAUUUUUUUGUAGUAUAAGGAUUUAGUUACUUUGAGUAAAUUAGAGUGUUUAAAGCAAACUUUUUUUUGUUUGAAUACUAUAGCAUGGAAUAACAACAUUGAACCAGUCAAAUUUUUUAUUAAUUUUUAUGAUUUGGCUUUAGUUACGAUUAAUAGGAGUAGUUUGGGGGCAUUUGUAUUCAGAAGUUAGAGGUGAAAUUCUAAGAUUUUCUGGCGACAAACAACUGCGAAAGCAUUUGCCUAAUAUACUUCCAUUAAUCAAGAACGAAAGUUAAGGGAGUGAAGACGAUCAGAUACCGUCGUAAUCUUAACCAUAAACGAUACCGACUAGGUGUUGGAUAAUAUCUUAUACAUGUAUCGUAAUUUAAAUAUAGUAGAUUUAUUUCUAUUAUGUUUGUUUUACGAUACUAUUUUACUUUUUUCAGUACCUUAUGAGAAAUCAAAGUUUUUGGGUUCUGGGGCGAGUAUUCGCGCAAGCGAGAAAGUUAAAAGAAUUGACGGAAGGGCACCACCAGGCGUGGAGCUUGCGGCUUAAUUUGACUCAACACGGGAAACCUCACUAGUUUAAGACAAGAGUAGGAUUGACAGAUUGAUAGCUCUUUCUUGAUUUCUUGGAUGGUGAUGCAUGGCCGUUUUUAGUUCGUGAAUUUUGAUUUGUCUGGUUCAUUCCGAUAACGAACGAGACCUUACUUUGCUAAUUAGCGGUGAGUACGAUUAUAUUUUUGUUAUGAAACAUCUGUACAUUCGUUAAAUUGUUUGUAGUAUUUUACUCGUAACAUUUUUCGAAUCGUAUGAUGUUUUGAACAAAAAUGUACUUAUUAUAAAUAUGAAAGCUUCUUAGAGGAACGAUGUGUGUUUAACACAAG
rnacentral:rRNA from 1 species